rnacentral:rRNA from 1 species
UUUAAAAUUAAUUAAAAGCGACGGGCAAUAUGUAUAUAUUAUUUUAAAAUAUUAAAAUUUUAAACCUAUAAAAAUUUAAUUUUAAAUCCAUUUUCAUUUAAAUAUUAAAAUUUAAAAUUCAAUUUUAAAAUUUAUUUAAUGUAUUUCAUUUUAAUCUUAUACUUUUAAUAUAUUAUGAUUUGAAAUAAAUUAAUAAAAAUAAAAUUUAUUAAUUUUUUAUUACAAAAUUAAUUAAACAACAAUAUAUAAUUUAAUUAAUAUAAGUUUAUUUAAAUGUGUAUUAUCAAAUUAAUUAACAAAAUCCUCUAAUUUUAAAUAAUACUACCAAAUUAUUUAAUUUUUAAAAAUAAAAAUUUACUAAUUAAAAAAAAUUAAUCCUUAUAAUA